UUGCCUGUUACAGUGCAAUGGAAUGCGUUUAGGACUUCAUGUUUCCAGUCCACAGAAGGAGAAAAGCUCUUAGGCCAGUCCUCUGAUAUCAAAUUCCAAGCAAAAAAAGUAACCUUAAACGAGAGCGUGGAAGCACUCAGCAAUCAGGAAAUGGAGAGUGACAGGCUAAUCAACCUCCAGUCCGCAUCUACUGUCUUAAUUCCUCAACUAAGACAAAUUCAGGACCCAAAACUUACCAGAAGUCGAAGCGAGAGGCAGAGUCCAAGUUCCGAAGCCCGAGGUCAAAGCAGGAGGCAGAGUCCAAGCCUAAAGCCAGGGUUCAAGGGGGAAAGCCAGAGGUCCGAGUCAGGGUUGAAAUCCAGGAGUGAGUCAAGGGGCAGGUUAGUCGCUACAGCUGUCUAGGGAAUCUAUGCAGCUAGGUGAACACUUCCUGGAACUUCUCUUGGGCUUAAACAGGGCACCUAGGCCAAUCAGGGACCACAAGGGAAGUGAUCAGUCUGGCCUUCCGUAUUGAUACUUCCUGUGGUGUUUAUCUCCACAGGGUCAAUGUGAUAAUGCAUAUGGCUCUAUCAUGGCUGUCAGGUAACUCUGUAGAGAGGCUGUCUACCCCUCAGGCCCAGGAUCUAGUCCCUACAGAGCCUUACACUGAUAUUCCAGCCUCAACCCCCUGGAGAAACCGUGCACCAGAGGAAUUCUCAGCUGGGGAGAGGAGAAGGGGCCUGACCCAGAAUCAGAGCCAACACUUUCAUCAGUUCACUGAGGCCAAGAACAUUCCUUGUGCAAUAAAGCGUAGUUAUUCCCAGCAGCAAGUAGGGGCAGCAUAAAUGCCAGCGUAUCUGGUGGCAGAAUCCACCAUAACCAGGAUAUAUUUCUUCCCAUUUCUGGAAGGUCUGGGUAGAGGUCCCACAAUAUCUACAGAAACUCUGGCAAACACUUCCUUGGUGAUGGGCAAAGUCUGAAAAGGUGACUUGCAGGGUCCUUUUAACCCCUUAUGCUUUGACAUAAAACAUAGCACUUGCUUAGUUCCUUUGGUUUGGGAAUUUAUCCCCCUCCUUCCAUGUGCUCUGAGCUGCAACGUCAUCUGAUGGGAGGAAAGCAAAACAAUAAAAGUCUUUAGUCCUCUUGUUGAUGGGUUUUCAAUCCAGAUGUAGGGAGUUUCCAGUUGUAAGAUCCAACCCUAACCCAUCCGGUAUUGAAGGGUCUCCUCUGUGGGAAGGGGCAUAACAAUUUCUAUAGAAGAGCCACUCUUCACACUAAUGCCCCUCUCCUGUAUGGUGAUUUAUACAGUCACAGAUAUUACAAGUAAGAUUAAUGCAUUGUUGGGGUAUCAUUAAAAGUAACUAUAUACCAAGGCCUAAAACACCCAGAGGGCCUAAAAUUUUGUAACAGGAAAAACAUUGAUAAGAUUUGGCUGUACAAAUUUUUUUGGACUUUGUGUAAAAUAAAAAAAUCCCCUGACAACUUUGUGUUUGCAGAAAAUAAGAAAUGUUAACAUUGAAGAAUUAUAAUAUGCUCUCUAAAAUUCCCUUCCUAAUAGACUAAGGGGGACGGUAAUAUACACAAACUGAUCUAUAACAUUGAAACGAAGGAUUGUUAAUGACCAGAAUUAAAAGCUUCGUUAUCUAUAUUUGUAAUGAAUUGAGUAAGGUAACAGGCAGGCCCAGGUUUUGCCUGGCAUCAGUGUAUUUUUGUUAAUUUCUUUUUAAUAUAACUGACUGAUUUGUUUAAAAUGCUGUUGUUAGCAGGAUAACUAAUGUGUCAUGUUAGAAGAGGAAAGAAAUAGAUACAAACAUGUAAUGAUCAACAAAAUCUUCCUUUUUCUGGGAAAUUUAAAAACUGGAUGACCCAGGGCAAAAGGACCCAGAAAUUGUAAAUUCAGCAGGAAAAGUGUGGGCAUUCAGUGAUUAAUGUUUGUGCAUGUGUAAUAUUCAGGUUAUGUAAAAUUCAAUGGAUAAUGUGUUCAAUGCUGAUGGGAGGAAAAUUAGGUAGUGGAAAAUGUAAAAAUGUAUAAGUAUAUGUAAAAUGGCCCCCCAAAAACUGGAGAAAUCCUGGGUCAAAAACUGAAGAACAAGACUAAAAGACCAGAGCAGGAGCUCAGAGGAGGUGACAAAUGUCAUGGAGGAAGGAUGGACUUCUUGGUGCACUGGAGCCCAUUUAUCUAUUCUGUCUUGUCUGUUAUUACGUGUCUGGCAUGAAUGUAUGUGCCAGACACUACA